rnacentral:lncRNA from 1 species
ACUGUUCUUUUAUAAAUAUGGAUUAAAAAAAUCACACAAAAAACAAAACUUUCUUACAAAAAGUAAGUCAUACAUAAACUUCUGAGUAUAAAAACUUUAUUAUUACAUAAAACUAAGAUGCUUAUUUUUUUAUUGAAACAAAGCUGAGCCCAUCAUAAAAUCCCAAGGUCUGUUAUGCCCAUAUGCACUUUGUCUUGGUUAGGACUUGGCGCCAACUUGUCUUACUCAUCGUUAUCUGCAAUGUAAGGACUUUAUGAGCUAAUGUCCAGUAAGCAGUAAGAUCUUUGAUGCAUGUAUAAAUUAUGAUGCAUAUGGAUGAUCAUAUUAAGCUUUUAAAAGAAACUUAGAAAAUACAAAACAACUUCAUUAGGGUCCUCCUUAGAAACUUUGCCACUUGGUAGUACAACCACCUAUUUUUCUUAAAUUCAUUUUCUAAAACAUAUUUUUCAUAAUCUAAUCCAUGAUAUACAUGUAUCCAAUGCAACUUAUGUCAUAAUAUUUGAAGUUCCUAGAUGCAUAACAGAAUCAACACACUAAACUAUUUAAGAAUAAGGUUCUUUAAUACAGGCGGCAGAGCCGACCAUAGCAUAAUUAAGUAUAAGUAUCACAGAUUAGGCGGUAGAGCCAACCAUAAUAUAACUACGUAUCAUCAAUUAGGCGGCAGAGCCGACCGUAACAUAAUUAAGUAUCAUAGCUUAGGCAGCAGAGCCGACAAUAACGUAACUAAGUAUCAUAGAUUAGGCGACAGAGCCGACCAUAACGUAAUUGAAUAUCAUAGCUUAAGCGGCAGAGCCAACCAUAACGUAACUAAGUAUCAUAGAUUAGGCGGCAGAGCCGACCAUAUAAGAAUUUAGAUUAUAAUUAAUCACAUCAUAAUAGCCAUCACAAUAUAAAAGAAUAGUUAAAACUUAAGUUAAAUAUGAAAAGAAUUUUCUCCUUACAUUACAGUUGAAGUGUUACUUACCUCUUGAUCUUGACUUCUCUAGACCUUUCUAAGUAAGGAUUUCUCUACUCUUGUUAUUAUGACUUAGAAUAGAAGAGCGCGAAAUUUCUAGGUUGCAUU